UACGUAGGGGGCGAGCGUUGUCCGGAUUCAUUGGGCGUAAAGAGCUCGUAGGCGGUUCGGCAAGUCGGGUGUGAAAACUCCAGGCUCAACCUGGAGACGCCACCCGAUACUGCUGUGACUCGAGUCCGGUAGGGGACCACGGAAUUCCUGGUGUAGCGGUGAAAUGCGCAGAUAUCAGGAGGAACACCGGUGGCGAAGGCGGUGGUCUGGGCCGGUACUGACGCUGAGGAGCGAAAGCGUGGGGAGCGAACAGG
rnacentral:rRNA from 1 species